rnacentral:rRNA from 1 species
AUAGGGGAGCCGUAGGGAAACCGAGUCUUAACCGGGCGUUAAGUUGCAGGGUAUAGACCCGAAACCCGGUGAUCUAGCCAUGGGCAGGUUGAAGGUUGGGUAACACUAACUGGAGGACCGAACCGACUAAUGUUGAAAAAUUAGCGGAUGACUUGUGGCUGGGGGUGAAAGGCCAAUCAAACCGGGAGAUAGCUGGUUCUCCCCGAAAGCUAUUUAGGUAGCGCCUCGUGAAUUCAUCUUCGGGGGUAGAGCACUGUUUCGGCUAGGGGGUCAUCCCGACUUACCAACCCGAUGCAAACUGCGAAUACCGGAGAAUGUUAUCACGGGAGACACACGGCGGGUGCUAACGUCCGUCGUGAAGAGGGAAACAACCCAGACCGCCAGCUAAGGUCCCAAAGUCAUGGUUAAGUGGGAAACGAUGUGGGAAGGCCCAGACAGCCAGGAUGUUGGCUUAGAAGCAGCCAUCAUUUAAAGAAAGCGUAAUAGCUCACUGGUCGAGUCGGCCUGCGCGGAAGAUGUAACGGGGCUAAACCAUGCACCGAAGCUGCGGCAGCGACACUGUGUGUUGUUGGGUAGGGGAGCGUUCUGUAAGCCUGCGAAGGUGGCCUGUGAGGGUUGCUGGAGGUAUCAGAAGUGCGAAUGCUGACAUAAGUAACGAUAAAGCGGGUGAAAAGCCCGCUCGCCGGAAGACCAAGGGUUCCUGUCCAACGUUAAUCGGGGCAGGGUGAGUCGACCCCUAAGGCGAGGCCGAAAGGCGUAGUCGAUGGGAAACAGGUUAAUAUUCCUGUACUUGGUGUUACUGCGAAGGGGGGACGGAGAAGGCUAUGUUGGCCGGGCGACGGUUGUCCCGGUUUAAGCGUGUAGGCUGGUUUUCCAGGCAAAUCCGGAAAAUCAAGGCUGAGGCGUGACGACGAGGCACUACGGUGCUGAAGCAACAAAUGCCCUGCUUCCAGGAAAAGCCUCUAAGCAUCAGGUAACAUCAAAUCGUACCCCAAACCGACACAGGUGGUCAGGUAGAGAAUACCAAGGCGCUUGAGAGAACUCGGGUGAAGGAACUAGGCAAAAUGGUGCCGUAACUUCGGGAGAAGGCACGCUGACA